GACGAACGCUGGCGGCGUGCUUAACACAUGCAAGUCGAACGGAAAGGCCCUGCUUUUGUGGGGUGCUCGAGUGGCGAACGGGUGAGUAACACGUGAGUAACCUGCCCUUGACUUUGGGAUAACUUCAGGAAACUGGGGCUAAUACCGGAUAGGAGCUCCCGCUGCAUGGUGGGGGUUGGAAAGUUUCGGCGGUUGGGGAUGGACUCGCGGCUUAUCAGCUUGUUGGUGGGGUAGUGGCUUACCAAGGCUUUGACGGGUAGCCGGCCUGAGAGGGUGACCGGCCACAUUGGGACUGAGAUACGGCCCAGACUCCUACGGGAGGCAGCAGUGGGGAAUAUUGCACAAUGGGCGGAAGCCUGAUGCAGCAACGCCGCGUGCGGGAUGACGGCCUUCGGGUUGUAAACCGCCUUCGCCUGUGACGAAGCGUGAGUGACGGUAAUGGGUAAAGAAGCACCGGCUAACUACGUG
rnacentral:rRNA from 1 species